rnacentral:rRNA from 1 species
AUUGAACGCUGGCGGCAGGCCUAACACAUGCAAGUCGAACGGUAACAGAAAGCAGCUUGCUGCUUUGCUGACGAGUGGCGGACGGGUGAGUAAUGUCUGGGAAACUGCCUGAUGGAGGGGGAUAACUACUGGAAACGGUAGCUAAUACCGCAUAACGUCGCAAGACCAAAGAGGGGGACCUUCGGGCCUCUUGCCAUCGGAUGUGCCCAGAUGGGAUUAGCUUGUUGGUGGGGUAACGGCUCACCAAGGCGACGAUCCCUAGCUGGUCUGAGAGGAUGACCGGCCACACUGGAACUGAGACACGGUCCAGACUCCUACGGGAGGCAGCAGUGGGGAAUAUUGCACAAUGGGCGCAAGCCUGAUGCAGCCAUGCCGCGUGUAUGAAGAAGGCCUUCGGGUUGUAAAGUACUUUCAGCGGGGAGGAAGGGAGUAAAGUUAAUACCUUUGCUCAUUGACGUUACCCGCAGAAGAAGCACCGGCUAACUCCGUG